rnacentral:lncRNA from 1 species
GAUUAUUUUGGAAAUAUUAUUGAUAUGCCGUUGUUUUAAAUAUGCUAUACACAAAAAUUAUUUGUUUCUUUGCAGGUUGGAUUUGGAGUUGAACCCAUCGACCUUGAUCCUGUUGAUCAAGCUUCAGAAAAGCCUUCAAUUGAUCGGCCUUCAAAUAGCACCAUAAAGCCUUCAAUCGGAGUUGAACCCCAUUAAUCCUGAUCCUGUUGCUCAACCUUCAGAAAACAUAAUAAAGCCUUCAAUUGAUCAACCUUCAAAUGCCACAAUAAUACCCUCAAAUGGUACGAAAGAAGGCGAAGUCUCCACCAGUAGAAGGAAAAGGAGAAGAAAAGGGAUACCUCAUAGAUCUCCCCUGAAGUAGUUGGUUGAAUUGUGGUCACUACAGUUAAUCCUUUAUAUUUAGGAAAAUUUGCCAAAUUGGUCCCUAACAUUUACCAAAAACACUUUUUUAGUCCCUGACAUAUAAAAUCAGCCAAAAUGCUCCUUCACAUUUAAAUUGUGAGCCAAUUUGGUCCUAUUGCUCGUUUUUGCUCAUUUCUCCGGCUAAAAAUAGCACGUCCCUCUCACGUUGUCAUAUUUUUAGGGGCAAAACCGGAAACACAUUUCAUUACCGGUUGAAAGUAAAAGGAUAGGGGACCACCACCAAAAUACACAUUUUACCUUUGGCUCUCAAAUUACCCUUUACUCUCUAUGGAGCCACCGGAAAACGACGCCGUGGCUAUUGCAUCAGCUGAGAAAAUCAUCCUCCGCUGGGACUCCACAGCCUCCGAGGACGCCAGGGACAGAAUGAUCUUCGACGGCGAUCGAUAUGAGAUCGACAAAUACUUCCAAGCCGUGGAUGAAAUCCAACGGUCAAUGGAAUCCGCCAGCAUCUCAGACGACUCUGCUAAGGCCAACAGCGCGAUCCAGAUCACCAUGGCCCGCCUGGAAGACGAGUUUCGCAAUAUUAUCAUUGCUCAAACUUCCCCUCUCGAAGCCGACACUCUGACCGAUCCCAGCUCUUGUUCCUUCCGCUCCAUCGCUUCUAUUGGCAGCAGCGACGGCCACUUGAGCUUGCUGCCGCCGCCGCCGCCGUCCCUGCACACCGAGGAAGACGACUUCACCGAGACCAACUUGGCAAGUUUGGUAAAGAAAAUGUGAUCCUUCCAGGAAACUUAGCCUUUCUUUUCGUGUGAUUCCUUUGCCUAAAAGGGGCGGCUCAAGCAUCAUGUAUGGAAGGUGCACAAAGUAUUCAGGAUGCCACAAAAAACUUCACUCAUUCAGCGAAAUCUUCUCGCCAGAUCAGGGCAUAAAGCUUGUGAAUUCUCCAUUUUCCAAUCUAAGGGUGACCAUUCACUCUUAAGUUGAAUUGUCCAAUUUUCAAGAUUGAUUAUAACAAAAUUGUCCAUUCACUCUCAAAUCACCUUUGGCUCCAUAUGCUUGUUAAUUUGGGGAUGCAAAUAGGGUUUCUUGAAAGGGUAAUUUGAGAGCCAAAGGGAAAGGGUAAUUUGAGAGCUAAAGGUGAAAUGUGUAUUUUGGUGGUGGUCCCCUAUCCUUUACUUUCAACAGGUAAUGAAAUGUGUUUCCGGUUUUGCCCCUAAAAAUAUGACCACAUGAGAGGGGCGUGCUAUUUUUAGCCGGAGAAAUGAGCAAAAACGAGCAAUAGGACCAAAUUGGCUCACAAUUUAAAUGUGAAGGAGCAUUUUGGCUGAUUUUAUAUGUCAGGGACUAAAAAAGUGUUUUUGGUAAAUGUUAGGGUCCAAUUUGGCAAAUUUUCCUUAUAUUUACUUGGUUUGUUAAUCCUUUAUAUUUACUUGGUUUGUUAAUCCUUUAUAUUUACUUGGUUUAUCCUUUUAUAGUUAACAAUCAUUUUGUUCUGGUUAUUAUCUGAUGAUUUAUUUCUUCUAGUGAAGCACUAAUUACAAGCUGCCA